rnacentral:rRNA from 2 species
UAACGCGUGGGAAUCUACCUUGAGCUACGGGAUAACAGAGAGAAAUUUCUGCUAAUACCGUAUGUGGCCUUUGGGCGAAAGAUUUAUCGGCUUAAGAUGAGCCCGCGUUGGAUUAGCUGGUUGGUGGGGUAAAGGCCUACCAAGGCGACGAUCCAUAGCUGGUCUGAGAGGAUGAUCAGCCACACUGGGACUGAGACACGGCCCAGACUCCUACGGGAGGCAGCAGUGGGGAAUAUUGGACAAUGGGCGCAAGCCUGAUCCAGCCAUGCCGCGUGAGUGAAGAAGGCCUUAGGGUUGUAAAGCUCUUUCACCGGUGAAGAUAAUGACGGUAGCCGGAGAAGAAGCCCCGGCUAACUUCGUGCCAGCAGCCGCGGUAAUACGAAGGGGGCUAGCGUUGUUCGGAUUUACUGGGCGUAAAGCGCGCGUAGGCGGAUAGAUAAGUCAGAGGUGAAAUCCCGGGGCUCAACCCCGGAAUUGCCUUUGAUACUGUUUAUCUUGAGUGCAGAAGAGGUAAGUGGAAUUCCGAGUGUAGAGGUGAAAUUCGUAGAUAUUCGGAGGAACACCAGUGGCGAAGGCGGCUUACUGGUCUGCAACUGAC